rnacentral:rRNA from 1 species
UACGUAGGGUGCAAGCGUUAAUCGGAAUUACUGGGCGUAAAGCGUGCGCAGGCGGCUUUGCAAGACAGAUGUGAAAUCCCCGGGCUUAACCUGGGAACUGCAUUUGUGACUGCAUGGCUGGAGUGCGGCAGAGGGGGAUGGAAUUCCGCGUGUAGCAGUGAAAUGCGUAGAUAUGCGGAGGAACACCGAUGGCGAAGGCAAUCCCCUGGGCCUGCACUGACGUCAUGCACGAAAGCGUGGGAGCAAACAGG